GCUGUGGUAGUUUGGUGUUAGACUUCUUGUCUUUCAUUCAGGAGACCUGAGUUUGAUUCCCAGCCAAGGCG
rnacentral:tRNA from 1 species